UUAAAUGAAAUUUGUAUGGAUUUGGAACGUUUGCCUACGUUUGCCGCUAGGGGCGCUGUUCCAACUGCAUACAAAUCUGAGUUA
rnacentral:pre_miRNA from 1 species